AACGAACGCUGGCGGCAUGCCUAACACAUGCAAGUCGAACGAGACCUUCGGGUCUAGUGGCGCACGGGUGCGUAACGCGUGGGAACCUGCCUUUAGGUUCGGAAUAACUCAGAGAAAUUUGAGCUAAUACCGGAUGAUGUCUUCGGACCAAAGAUUUAUCGCCUUUAGAUGGGCCCGCGUUGGAUUAGCUAGUUGGUGGGGUAAAGGCCUACCAAGGCGACGAUCCAUAGCUGGUCUGAGAGGAUGAUCAGCCACACUGGGACUGAGACACGGCCCAGACUCCUACGGGAGGCAGCAGUGGGGAAUAUUGGACAAUGGGCGAAAGCCUGAUCCAGCAAUGCCGCGUGAGUGAUGAAGGCCUUAGGGUUGUAAAGCUCUUUUACCCGAGAUGAUAAUGACAGUAUCGGGAGGAUAAGCUCCGGCUAACUCCGUG
rnacentral:rRNA from 1 species